UACAGAGGUCUCAAGCGUUGUUCGGAUUCAUUGGGCGUAAAGGGUGCGUAGGUGGGCAGGUAAGUCAGUGGUGAAAUCUCCGGGCUUAACCCGGAAACUGCCGUUGAUACUAUUUGUCUUGAAUAUAGUGGAGGUGAGCGGAAUAUGUCAUGUAGCGGUGAAAUGCUUAGAUAUGACAUAGAACACCAAUUGCGAAGGCAGCUUGCUACACUAUUAUUGACACUGAGGCACGAAAGCGUGGGGAUCAAACAGG
rnacentral:rRNA from 1 species